rnacentral:rRNA from 1 species
UACGAAGGGGGCUAGCGUUGCUCGGAAUUACUGGGCGUAAAGGGUGCGUAGGCGGUUCUUUAAGUCAGGGGUGAAAUCCUGGAGCUCAACUCCAGAACUGCCUUUGAUACUGAGGGUCUUGAGUUCGGGAGAGGUGAGUGGAACUGCGAGUGUAGAGGUGAAAUUCGUAGAUAUUCGCAAGAACACCAGUGGCGAAGGCGGCUCACUGGCCCGAUACUGACGCUGAGGUGCGAAAGCGUGGGGAGCAAACAGG